rnacentral:rRNA from 1 species
GACGAACGCUGGCGGCGUGCCUAAUACAUGCAAGUUGAGCGAUGAAGAUUGGUGCUUGCACCAAUUUGAAGAGCAGCGAACGGGUGAGUAACGCGUGGGGAAUCUGCCUUUGAGCGGGGGACAACAUUUGGAAACGAAUGCUAAUACCGCAUAACAACUUUAAACAUAAGUUUUAAGUUUGAAAGAUGCAAUUGCAUCACUCAAAGAUGAUCCCGCGUUGUAUUAGCUAGUUGGUGAGGUAAAGGCUCACCAAGGCGAUGAUACAUAGCCGACCUGAGAGGGUGAUCGGCCACAUUGGGACUGAGACACGGCCCAAACUCCUACGGGAGGCAGCAGUAGGGAAUCUUCGGCAAUAGACGAAAGUCUGACCGAGCAACGCCGCGUGAGUGAAGAAGGUUUUCGGAUCGUAAAACUCUGUUGGUAGAGAAGAACGUUGGUGAGAGUGGAAAGCUCAUCAAGUGACGGUAACUACCCAGAAAGCGACGGCUAACUACGUG